GUAGAUGCUCAUUCCAUCUCUUAUGUUCGCCUCCGGCUUCAUAAACCCAGGAAUGAUGCAGAGCCAAUUUUAGGGUGCCUAUUGUCCACGAGAACGAUGAAAGCAAUAGCUUCAUCACACUCCGGGCAUAACGUUGAGUGAGGCACCACCCCUGUUGUUCUAGACCUGAUUGCUUCUUGUACACUUGCCUAUACGGCAAGUGUUUUUUU
rnacentral:sRNA from 1 species